CCCUUAGAUGUUCUGGGCCGCACGCGCGCUACACUGUUGCAUUCAACGAGUAUACAACCUUGAUCGAAAGAUCUGGGUAAUCUUUGAAAGUGCAACGUGAUGGGGCUAGAUUAUUGCAAUUAUUAAUCUUAAACGAGGAAUUCCUAGUAAACGCAAGUCAUCAGCUUGCAUUGAUUACGUCCCUGCCCUUUGUACACACCGCCCGUCGCUCCUACCGAUUGGCUGAUUCGGUGAAAUCUUGGGACCGAGAUAUUUAGUUGGCUCGCUAGCUUUAUGUCUUGGGAACUUGCUUGAAUCAUGUCAGCUAGAGGAAGGAGAAGUCGUANCA
rnacentral:rRNA from 1 species